rnacentral:rRNA from 1 species
UGGGGAAUUUUGGACAAUGGGCGCAAGCCUGAUCCAGCAAUGCCGCGUGAGUGAAGAAGGCCUUCGGGUUGUAAAGCUCUUUCAGUCGAGAAGAAAAGGUUGUGACCAAUAAUCACAACUCAUGACGGUAUCGACAGAAGAAGCACCGGCUAACUACGUGCCAGCAGCCGCGGUAAUACGUAGGGUGCGAGCGUUAAUCGGAAUUACUGGGCGUAAAGGGUGCGCAGGCGGUUUUGUAAGUCAGAUGUGAAAUCCCCGGGCUUAACCUGGGAACUGCGUUUGAAACUACAAGACUAGAGUGUGGCAGAGGGGGGUGGAAUUCCAUGUGUAGCAGUGAAAUGCGUAGAGAUAUGGAAGAACAUCGAUGGCGAAGGCAGCCCCCUGGGUUAACACUGACGCUCAUGCACGAAAGCGUGGGGAGCAAACAGGAUUAGAUACCCCCGUAGUCCCUGAGCGGGCUGGCAAGGCGCAU